UCCAGAAGAGCCUUUUAGAGCCUUGCAGAACUUCAAAAUGGAGGGGAAGAGGCAGGAAAGGGGAGCUAUGAAAAAUGAACUGCUUUGCUCUUCUGUAGGAGUAAGACGGGCUUGCUCAAGGCAGGAGGAUAAACUCUUGCACUGAGGACACACAGAGAUGAAGCGUCUAAAGUCCAACAAGCUCAGGCCGACCAAUUCCUAACAGCAGCAUGGUGAAGAGACAAAGUGUAAGGCCACAGAAGUCUCCCCCAGACUACGUUUGUUUUUAUUGAAACGGGAAAUAAUACAGCAGCUUCAUCUGUGUCAAAAAAGAAACCGUAAAGCACCUACAAAAUUCCUGCUGCACAGCAAGCCUAAGAGCCUAAGCUCAGCAAGCUGGGAAGAGCUCGCCUGGACAUUUACCCAUCUGCUGACUCUUGUUGCCAUCUGCGUUCUGAAGGCCCCAAAAGGGCCCCCAGAGUCUUCACGGGCUGAACUACCAGGAGGAGAUAACGUACAGUGACCACCUCUGCAGCUUUCAGUUGACUUCAUGGCUACAUGAGCUCAUCUGGCAGAAAGCUUAAACCUGGCUGUAGCAGGCAACGUCUCCCCCAUCCACCAUUCAGAUAGCUGGGACCUAGGUGGAAAAAGACAACACAAACACCAGAAAUCCCUUCAGGCCCACACUGAAGCAGCUAAAGAAGAAAAGGUGCUUUUGUGCAAGGUGGCGAGAACCAAAGCACUCACCUCAAGUCUUUUCUUAAGGCGGCUUCUCCAAGGCUUUUUAAUCAUUUUACUUCCUUGCACAUGGUCACUGGUGAUUGACAAAAGGGAUGUGCUUCUGCAAAUAGGCUAGAUGCAGCUUUAAAGCAAAUUACUCCAUAUAUGAAGCUUGAAAUUCAAACAGCAUCAAAAGCUUGGAGUCAGAAAAUAAAUACAUUAAAUUGUACGCACUACAUACAAAAAACAAGAUAAUUUUUCUGAUACAACUAGGUACAACCACAAGAAAUGUACUUAAGACUACCACCCAGGGUUUUAUGUCAACAGAAAGGAGAUAGAAUUCACACAUGCAACACCUGUGAAAUCACACUAUUUAAACACCUAGCAAAACACAUUUAUUUUGUGGUUACAUUUCAAGCUAGUUGUAUUUAAAAUUAGUGCAUGUACAAUUACACAGAAGAGCUUUUUUCCUAAAAAAAAAAAAAAAACAAAACCUGCUACUCUUACAAAAAAACACCCACUUUUGGGAUUUAUAAACAUGACUUAAAAGCA